rnacentral:rRNA from 1 species
GCAGACCUACGGGGCGCAGCAGUGAGGAAUAUUGGUCAAUGGCCGGAAGGCUGAACCAGCCAAGUCGCGUGAGGGACGACUGCCCUAUGGGUUGUAAACCUCUUUUAUAAGGGAAGAAUAAAUGCUACGUGUAGCAUGAUGCCUGUACCUUAUGAAUAAGCAUCGGCUAACUCCGUGCCAGGAGCCGCGGUAAUACGGAGGAUGCGAGCGUUAUCCGGAUUUAUUGGGUUUAAAGGGUGCGUAGGCGGAUUUUUAAGUUCGUGGUUAAACGGCGGGGCUUCACC